rnacentral:rRNA from 1 species
UUCUGCUCAAUGAUAUUUUAAAUAGCCGCAGUACCCUGACUGUGCAAAGGUAGCAUAAUCAUUUGGCUUAUAAUUGAAGUCUAGAAUGAAUGAAUAAAUGGGUAAAAACUGUCUUUCCAUAAAAGUAAGAACUUACUAAAAGAGUGAAAAUUCUCUUUAAAACUUGACAGACGAGAAGACCCUAGAAAUUUUUUUAAAACUGGUAAAAUUAUUAAUUUUGUUGGGGCGACAGAGUAACAGAUAACUUACUUUAAACAUAAGAAUUUGUUUUUAUGGAAAAUAAAAUUACUCUAGGGAUAACAGCAUAAUUUUGUAAAGUUUGUGACCUCGAUGUUGGACUAGGAAAUUUGUUAUUCAGAAGAUAACAUGUAAUGCUCUGUUCGAGCAGCACCUCCUACGUGAUCUGAGUUCAGACCGGA